UUCUUUAUCAUUAACAUUAUCAUCAUGUUAAUCACCUAUAAUUAUUUCUUGAACAUAGAAAAUUUGUUUGUUUUUUGUUUGUUUGUUUUGCUUAUAUUGGGAGGAGGAUGUUAUCAGAUUAAACAGUGAUUUUCCCUUGAGAAGUUUUCAGGAUAAUUGGAGCAGACUAUUUUUACUUAAAACCAAAGAUAGAUUGGCUACAUAUAACCUGCUCAAGUAGUGAGCAUUUUAGGUGAGAAGAAAUGUACUUUUCCUUUUAGGUUUGAGAGUAAAGCUGAAUCCCUAUUUUCUUGCUAUUAUUGGCGUUACAAUGAAUCACCACAGUACUUAUGUGUUCCAAAGAGUUCUUAGUUGAUUUCUCACUGCAACUUCUAUUUUACAGAUGAGAAAACUGAAGUUCAUUAGCAUCUAGGCAAGUCCUGACGAAGGUCGUGCCACUGGUAAACAGUGGAAUCAGGAUUUGAAUUCAGGUCUGGACUCUUUGUAUUCUGUCUGUGUGUCGGUUACAACCUUACUGUGGAGACUCAGCCGUGAAAGCAGAAGGAGGUGGAAGGUUAGCGGAAGCUGGAGAGGAAAAAAGGUGAAGAUCUUUUGAAGUUUUCCUGCUCAGCCAGGAAAACAUGGCUGCAGUUAUCAGGACUGGCAUGUCCUUAUCUCCAAACUACUGAGCUUGGCUUGAGAGGGCAUGACAGCUGCUCCAAUUUUGGGCUUGAAGAAACUGGCAUGGCAGAGAGUAGAGAGACCUGGGGAUACCGGCUAGAAAGGAUAAGAAUGUCCAGGUGAGUUAAUAAUGGAUAUGCACUUCCUAUAAGCCUGCAGGCGCAGGGAGACUUGUCGGGUCUCUGCUAAGAUGAUGGUUUUGGAAAGUUAACUCUGUUACAUCCCCUGUCUCCCCUGGC
ensembl:lncRNA